UAAUUGAAGAGUUUGAUCAUGGCUCAGAUUGAACGCUGGCGGUAGGCUUAACACAUGCAAGUCGUGCGAGAAAGUACCUUCGGGUGCGAGUAGAGCGGCGGACGGGUGAGUAACGCGUAGGAAUCUACCUAGUAGAAGGGGAUAGCCCGGGGAAACUCGGAUUAAUACCGUAUACCUC
rnacentral:rRNA from 1 species